CACACCAUAUGUACAAAUAUAUUUUUGUUGUAUUUACUUACAAGCACAGCGACUCCUUUCUCAUUUCGCCCACCCGUCAGCCACCCCGCACAGUUGUUGUUGAAGGCUGUUUGUAUUAUGCGCUGCUGGAUGGCAGUCUGGCUGGCUGCUUGUCUAACUUCUUGGUGCAUGUUUUGGCUUCAGUCGUUUUGUCGGGUUGUUUGUGCAAGUUGUUCGCGUCGCACAGUUUUUUGUUGAUGUUCGCAUCUGUUUGGAGUAGUCGUCGCGCGGACAUUGAACGUGUUGAACGUUUAUUUGCUUCGUUUAAGUAUUGAGCGCGCCGUGUAGUGAACGAGUCGCGUGGAAAAUUCAAUUCUUACGUGAAACAGUUUUACACGAGUGUCGGCUCAUUUUGCUUCGGUGUUGUUGAUGUAAUUUCUUGUUAAAAGUAGUAAACAUUGAUUUGAUAUCAGUUAUCAGUGAAGUGUUGUCAACAAGUUUAGUGGCGAAAAUUUAAUAAGUGCGUGUAGUGCUGAAAAUGGAUACACAUGCGGAUAGUAGUUAGAAGUUUAUAAAAAAUAUGUUGAAUGUUAAAAAUAUAAUAAAAAUUUAAUUUACUUAAAAAGUGCCAAAAACAAGUUUUUAAAUUAGACUGAAUCGAAUUAUUUAGCUAUGCAGCGCAAGUAAAUAAAAUAUCGCUCCUACAUUUUGAUGUGUCUCGUGCAUAUAAUAAAUAAUGCUUUUUGUUUAAAAAAUAUUUUUAUUGGCAUACCAAGUUGAAAACAUUACAUAACAGCACGGGAAGUGAUCUAAAAUUUGUGAUUUCAAACUAAACUCAGCGGUUUCAAGCAAAAAUGUAUAAAGUAAUAAAUCAAAUAAUUUACACAUAUACAAAGAAAAUGUAAAUGUGUUCCAAAAGUGCCAAAAUUAUUUUUCGACAAUCAAGAAAAUAUAAACCACAGCAACCAAAAAGAUGCCAAAUAAUUCUUUACACAUCGUUUGAUAUAAAAAACAAAAAACUAAAAAUAUAGUUUUGUGUUCUGAAAACCAAAAAAAAAAAAACCAAAAAAAAGGAAAGAAAAUGUAAAUUCUAAUCAAAAAAAAGGAGAACAACUAAAUACCGCACAAAAAACACGUGCUCUCCCAGCAACACCAAAAUAAAAAGAAAACGUAAAUGUUUUUGUUGCCACCGACAACAACAUGGGCAACUCAUCGUCAUCGCAUGGCCAUGGCAGCAGCAGCAAGAGUAGUCGCAAGUGUCGCAGUCUGCCCAACUCGCCGGAUGUCAGAAGCACACUCGCUUCUAAUGCUGCCAUUCGAGGGCGUUGAAGAUUUGCUCGUUCUGCUGUGGCUAUAAAUCUUCGACGCUGCCUAGUC